rnacentral:rRNA from 1 species
GCGGUGGAGCAUGUGGUUUAAUUCGAAGCAACGCGAAGAACCUUACCAGGUCUUGACAUCCCCUGACAACCCAAGAGAUUGGGCGUCCCCUUCGGGGGACAGGGUGACAGGUGGUGCAUGGUUGUCGUCAGCUCGUGUCGUGAGAUGUUGGGUUAAGUCCCGCAACGAGCGCAACCCUCGCCUCUAGUUGCCAGCAUUCGGUUGGGCACUCUAGAGGGACUGCCGGCGACAAGUCGGAGGAAGGUGGGGAUGACGUCAAAUCAUCAUGCCCCUUAUGACCUGGGCUACACACGUGCUACAAUGGGCGGUACAAAGGGCUGCGAACCCGCGAGGGGGAGCGAAUCCCAAAAAGCCGCUCUCAGUUCGGAUUGCAGGCUGCAACUCGCCUGCAUGAAGCCGGAAUCGCUAGUAAUCGCGGAUCAGCAUGCCGCGGUGAAUACGUUCCCGGGCCUU